ensembl:ncRNA lncRNA:CR45877 long non-coding RNA:CR45877
AUUUUUUUUUUUUUGUUUGUUUGUCGUAUUUCCAGCAUUUGCACGCCCAUUUUUUUGGGGGUCACUGGCUGCUUGUCAAUUGCAAAUGGUUUGACUAAUGACUCGGUGGCAAGGUCAUGGAUAGAACAGAACCCAUUGUUGUCGAUUUCAAUUAGGAGCUGCGCCUAAUUUGCAUAAUUAUCAUAAAGUUUGACGAGGGAUAACGAGCCAGUCGAGUGGUAAAUUGUCCUAGUCCAACUAGGAUUUUAUCUGCUAGAUGGAUGGAUGAAUGUUGUACUCCUCGAGCAUGCAAAUUAGUUCUUGAUUUGUCCCAUAAUGAGCCUGUGUUUUUGCACUGAUAAAAGGGGAGUGUUCAAAGUGAAAAAUUUGUCGAAAUAUACAGUUGGAAAAAUUAAUUCUCCUACAUUUUAAGUUAUUUCUAGAAAUCUAAGAGCCUUCAAUGAAUUGAAACGAGAAAUUGUGGUGUUUGCUCCUUUUGUUCUGCCUUUAAAGUCCCUGCCACAUUUUCAAUCUCCUUUAGACUUAAUCCUUAAGCUGUUACUCUCAAUUUGCACAAGAUCUUUGAUUAUUAAGGGACUUUUAUCCCUCCAUCCCCGAGGUCCUUUUCAGCAGGAUGCUUGGGCAAAUGGACUGCAGAAUCGGCUUGUUGCUGGUCGAUGGAGCUAUUUAGACAGAUAUUCCUGGCCCGCUCACCUUGGUUUCCUCGAGGAAUGGGCCCAUAGAUUGCAGUUUUAUGUCACAACAUUCAAACAAAUAGCCGGCCAUUUAAAACGGUUUAAAAGCCAUUGCUGCAGUCCGUAACAGCCGCACGGUGUCCUGACUUUUCCGCCAGACAAAACAGACAACCGCUGGGGCGGUAUGAGUUUUCCCCAUUUUCCAUCCGAGAGUUUCCUUUUUCCGGGGAUGACAAUAAAUGAGCGCCCAUUUGCGUAUGGUAUGGCUUUUUGGUUUUUGGCCAGAGAACGUUGAGGCUGGGGAAAUUGUUUUGGCUGUCGAAUUACGUAAACAUUGUCAUAAAUGACAAAUUUAGCAGUCGU